CUUGGUCAUUUAGAGGAAGUAAAAGUCGUAACAAGGUUUCCGUGGGUGAACCUGCGGAAGGAUCAUUCACAAUAAGUGUUUAUGGCACUUUUAAAAAUUCCAUACCCACCUUGUGUGCAACGUUUGAAUCUGCUCCGUGCGUCUCCCUCUUUCGAGUGGGCCGCGGGGAGUAAGAUAUCUUUAAUCAUUAAUCUGUUUUAAACCAGUUUUGUCUGAAGCAAUGUAUCAUUGAAUUGACCUAAUUCAAAAAUACAACUUUCAACAACGGAUCUCUUGGCUCUCGCAUCGAUGAAGAACGCAGCGAAAUGCGAUACGUAAUGUGAAUUGCAGAAUUCAGUGAAUCAUCGAAUCUUUGAACGCACAUUGCGCUCUCUGGUAUUCCGGAGAGCAUGCUUGUUUGAGUAUCAGUAAAACACCCUCAGUUCUCUCGUUUCUCCUGUUAAAGGGAAGGCGAGGGAACUGGACUUGAGUGAUCCCAACGGCAGUUUGAUUGUAAAAGAAAACCGCUGGCGGGUCGCUUGAAAUGCAGGUGCGGCUGGACACAUCUUCUGAGCUAUAAGCAUUACUUAUUUAAUCCCGUUAAACGGAUUAUUUCUAUUGCUGCAGCUAACAUAAAGGUUGAUUGUCCUUGUGCCCGACUGAUGCAGGAAAACAAAGAGACAAUCUUUGUUCAACUCGAUCUCAAAUCAAGUAAGACUACCCGCUGAACUUAAGCAUAUCAAUAAGCGGAGGA
rnacentral:rRNA from 1 species